UACGGAGGAUGCGAGCGUUAUCCGGGUUUAUUGGGUUUAAAGGGUGCGUAGGCGGUCCGUUAAGUCAGCGGUAAAAUUGCGGGGCUCAACCCCGUCGAGCCGUUGAAACUGGCAGACUUGAGUUGGCGAGAAGUACGCGGAAUGCGCGGUGUAGCGGUGAAAUGCAUAGAUAUCGCGCAGAACUCCGAUUGCGAAGGCAGCGUACCGGCGCCAGACUGACGCUGAGGCACGAAAGCGUGGGGAUCGAACAGG
rnacentral:rRNA from 1 species